GUGGGGAAUCUUAGACAAUGGGCGCAAGCCUGAUCUAGCCAUGCCGCGUGAGUGAUGAAGGCCCUAGGGUUGUAAAGCUCUUUCAGCUGGGAAGAUAAUGACUGUACCAGCAGAAGAAGCCCCGGCUAACUCCGUGCCAGCAGCCGCGGUAAUACGGAGGGGGCUAGCGUUGUUCGGAAUUACUGGGCGUAAAGCGCACGUAGGCGGACCGGAAAGUCAGAGGUGAAAUCCCAGGGCUCAACCUUGGAACUGCCUUUGAAACUCCUGGUCUUGAGGUCGAGAGAGGUGAGUGGAAUUCCGAGUGUAGAGGUGAAAUUCGUAGAUAUUCGGAGGAACACCAGUGGCGAAGGCGGCUCACUGGCUCGAUACUGACGCUGAGGUGCGAAAGCGUGGGGAGCAAACAGGAUUAGAAACCCGAGUAGUCC
rnacentral:rRNA from 1 species